GCCCUCGCGAGUCGUCUGCACUCCGCAAACCCCGCUCGGCGUCUGACCUGCAUAGAAGCUCCACGCCGGCACUUUAUGAUGGGGCAUCAGCAACAGUAAAGGAGCAAUCUACCCAUCAGAACCGUGAAGGAGAUGUGCCACCUCUGCUAGCAAAGGCUUAAACAAGACAGCGGAAGCACUGUCUUUAAAGAAACUGAGUGCUGGGAUUGCAGGGUCUGUGCCACCAUGCCCAACAAUCAAUGUUUCUACAGACUCAGUUCUUGGAUAUGGAGCUACGAGAUCAAAGAAUACAGGCAUUUUAAAUUCUGAUUUGAUUGUCAGAUUCCCUUCCAGGGUAUGUGUUAGAUUACACUCCAAAUGGCAGUUUAGGUAAGUGUCUGAGUUCCCCUGGCCAUGAGACAUUUCUGUUCUGUGGAGCCUGAUAGCCGUUCAGUUCCUAAACUGAACUCCAACAUUAUUACUGGUGGGGAAACCUGGGAGUGGUGGGGACACUAAUUUAAAGCUUUCCUUCAGAGCUAAGAAGUGAUGGGUAGAGGUAAUGCCUAGCACCGCAACCCUGCUAUGAAGGGGGGAGGACCUUGGGUGCCGGGCUUUUGUGCUCUUUCUUUGCAGGCUCUUUAUUAAUAAAGCCCUGUUUUCCUUGAGUGCUGGCUCAUGGGAACACGAGGAUAGAGGAAGCACUGGAGGCUGCAGUACAGCAUGUUGUCAGUUACAGAUUCUGCUUUCUAAGUUACAGACAUUACCUUCCUUUCCAGAACUUUCUGCACCCUUCCCCCGCCAUUUUUUCUUCGAGGUUUUUCUGGACCUGAGUACCUGCAAUACCUGGGAACUAGUUAGAAAUGUGUGUUUUCAGAUCUUCUGAAGGUUUACUCAGUCAGAGGCUUUGGGCAUAGGCCCGGCCAUUAGGGCUCUAAUAACCUUUCAGGGGAAGCAGAUGGUUUCUAGAAUACAACCUUCAGCUGGCCACUUCCCAUCAGGUGCCUGGACCUUCCUUUCCCACCAGUUUGUUCUUCCAUGGCUCAAGUUCUAAGCAUGAUCUGGUGUCCAGCUUUCUGAGACAGUCCUUGUUCUCACAUCUAGGCUCAAGCAGAUGUCUCCAGUUGACCCAGUUGUUCCUCAGCAAUGAAAACCCACAGUUUAUGAUGGAUGGCUGCAUAGAUAGAUAGAUAGAUAGAUAGA